rnacentral:rRNA from 1 species
GACGAACGCUGGCGGCGUGCUUAACACAUGCAAGUCGAACGGUAAGGCCCUUCGGGGUACACGAGUGGCGAACGGGUGAGUAACACGUGGGUGAUCUGCCCUGCACUUCGGGAUAAGCCUGGGAAACUGGGUCUAAUACCGGAUAGGACCACUGCCUGCAUGGGUGGUGGUGGAAAGCUUUUGCGGUGUGGGAUGGGCCCGCGGCCUAUCAGCUUGUUGGUGGGGUGAUGGCCUACCAAGGCGACGACGGGUAGCCGGCCUGAGAGGGUGACCGGCCACACUGGGACUGAGAUACGGCCCAGACUCCUACGGGAGGCAGCAGUGGGGAAUAUUGCACAAUGGGCGCAAGCCUGAUGCAGCGACGCCGCGUGAGGGAUGACGGCCUUCGGGUUGUAAACCUCUUUCAGCACCGACGAAGCGCAAGUGACGGUAGGUGCAGAAGAAGGACCGGCCAACUACGUGCCAGCCGCAGUAAUAC